UCCAUGGUGGCUCAGAUGGUAAAGCAUCUGCCUGCAAUACAGAAGACCCAGGUUCAAUCCCUGAGUUAGAA
rfam:TPA: Bos taurus chromosome 16, whole genome shotgun sequence.